rnacentral:rRNA from 1 species
CCUACGGGAGGCAGCAGUGAGGAAUAUUGGUCAAUGGACGCAAGUCUGAACCAGCCAUGCCGCGUGCAGGAAGACGGCUCUAUGAGUUGUAAACUGCUUUUGUACGAGGGUAAACGCAGAUACGCGUAUCUGUCUGCACGUAUCUUACGAAUAAGGAUCGGCUAACUCCGUGCCAGCAGCCGCGGUAAUCCGGAGGAUUCAAGCGUUAUCCGGAUUUAUUGGGUUUAAGGGGUGCGUAGGCGGUCGGAUAAGUUAGAGGUGAAAUCCCGAGGCUCAACUUCGGAAUUGCCUCUGAUACUGUUCGGCUAGAGAGUAGUUGCGGUAGGCGGAAUGUAUGGUGUAGCGGUGAAAUGCUUAGAGAUCAUACAGAACACCGAUUGCGAAGGCAGCUUACCAAGCUACGUCUGACGUUGAGGCACGAAAGCGUGGGGAGCAAACAGGAUUAGAUACCCCUGUAGUC